rnacentral:rRNA from 1 species
UGGCGGCAGGCUUAACACAUGCAAGUCGAGCGGUAGCAGAUCUAGCUUGCUAGAUGCUGACGAGCGGCGGACGGGUGAGUAACGCGUAGGAACCUGCCCAGUAGUGGGGGAUAGCCCGGGGAAACUCGGAUUAAUACCGCAUACGCUCUACGGAGGAAAGAGGGGGCUUCGGCUCUCGCUAUUGGAUGGACCUGCGUGAGAUUAGCUAGUUGGUGAGGUAAUGGCUCACCAAGGCGACGAUCUCUAGCUGGUCUGAGAGGAUGAUCAGCCACACUGGGACUGAGACACGGCCCAGACUCCUACGGGAGGCAGCAGUGGGGAAUAUUGCACAAUGGGCGCAAGCCUGAUGCAGCCAUGCCGCGUGUGUGAAGAAGGCUUUCGGGUUGUAAAGCACUUUCAGUGGGGAGGAAGGCCUCGUAGUUAAUAGCUGCGAGGAUUGACGUUACCCACAGAAGAAGCACCGGCUAACUCCGUG